AGCAAGAUUCCCAGAAGAGACAGGAAUAUAUACAAUUCAACAAAUAUUAAAUGUUACCUUGUGCCAGCAUUGGACUAUAUGGAGACAAAGAUGAAUAACAAAGAUUUGCUUCUAACCCUCAAGAAGCUCAUAGUCCACUGAGUGAAGUAAUUAACUAAACACAUAAUUUAAUAGAGAGAGAAUUAAGGUAGGGGAAGUACAAAGUACUGUUGUGUUCAUGGGAGGCGUACCUAAUUUGGGGAAUCAGGACUUCCUGGAGGAACUGAUGAUAAAUUCAUGGAACAAUGAGCACAGGUAGAGGAAAGAAAGAAAACAGGAUGAGUAAAAACAUGAAUGUGAGUAGGGUGGCAGAAAGGAAUUACAUUGGAAGAAUAAGUGGGAUUACGACCUUCGGAGUAUAGAAAAGUAAAACUCUGGAUGACCUCUAGGAAUUAUUUCUAAGAAAGGAAUAAAAGUGAAAAUUAAUUAGCACCUAGUGUGACACUCACCAGCUUUGGUGCAGGGACAAAGAAAGACUAUUAACAAGGAUACCCUGGAGCUGGAAGCUGGCAUGGCAGUGGACCCAGCAAAGCAAGGGGGACAGUUCUCAGAGACCAAGAAGCACAACACUAAAUGGGCGGCCCCUCAUAGUGGGAAGAGUUGGAACUUCCAGGGUUUUCCCCCCAACCCUAACCCUAACCCCCGGAGUUUUGGUCUCCAAGCAAUCAGUUCUGUGUUCUUAUUUCUAUGCUCAGUUUGAAACCACAUUUUGAAAAGGCAUUUCUUGAAAGGCAAAGACUGGGAGAAAAAUACUGACGCUCUAAGAGCUCCUGUCUAGCUGCCAAAGCAUUGUUUUAGUCAAAUGUCAAAUGAAAGGGGAGAAACAGAAUGAUGAUUUUAUUUGAAUUGCUUCCAAGGAAAAGUAACCUCCAGCAAAACACUGGGCCCACUUUGCUGGAAAUCCUGGCGUGUCGACAACAAAAAUGGAAGUAGAAAAUUGCAUCUUCCAGAAAGCACAGGAUCCAAUAGGAAAAACUGCAAAGGAGUGCUGUGCAAUCGGGUUCCCGUGGCUCAGGAUCCAUUUUAUUCUUUUCUACUUCUUCCUACUGAAAAUGAAAUUAUUUUAAAUAUAAUUUUCCCUUCGGGGGGCUUUAGGAAAUGAUUAAAGGUCAAAUCCCUUGUUUUAAGUAAAAUUAAUAUGUUAAAUUCCAAAUUUACUGAACUAAAAAAAGUAGAGAAUGAAAAUAAAUACAAAUAUAUUCCAAAACUUUAAAAGGUGAUUUCAGGAUACGGUUAAGUGAUGGUUUCUCUUGGUGGAAUGUGAAAUUGCACCCCAGCUAGAUUAGUAACAGAAAUAACCUAGGAAUCGAAGUUCUAAGUGUUCACGGGUUCUCGGGACCCUUGUGGCCCAGAGGUGAAUGUUAUGGGCAAAGGGGAGAAGGAAAAGAAGAAAAGAUGGCAGUGCACUUGGAGUCAUGAGACUACUGCAAAGUACCAAGGGCCUUAACAUUAUGCUCGUAAGUUACAGCAGCCACCAGGCCUCUAGGUCAGUCACCAUCUUAACCUCUUAGAAAUUUUCUUUUUUUUUUUUUUUGGUGUUUCAUUAUUUAUUCUUUUGUCCCUCAAAUUUCAUUGAGGUAUAGCUGACAAAUAAAAACCGUAUAUAUUUAAGGUGUACAAUGUGAUGAUAUACAUAUACAUUGUGAAAUGAUUACCACAAUCAAGCUGGCUAACACAUCCGUCCCCUCACGCAAUUACCCUUUUGUGUGUGUGGUGAGAACACUUAAAUACGCUUUUAGCAAAUUUCAAGUACACAAUACAAUAUUAUUAACCAUAGUUACCAUGCUGGACAUUAGAUCCCCUCCUUAGAAAUUUUCUAACCAAGUUGAAGGCAGGUAUUUUCAGUGGGUCUUUAUCUUCACUCCUUAAUCACAUUUAUGAGACACGCACAAUGUGUCCUGUCCUGUUACACACUGUUACAAAUCAAACAGACUCUGCCUCCGAUGAGAUUGCUUGUUCUUAUGUGAACAAAGGGAUGAAGUGUUCCAUGUCUGUGACUCUUUCACUCAUGAACCGAAAGCCAAGCCACAGGUGCCACCUUGUCAUUUGUGGCAAUUGUCCCAGACCCUCCUUGUUCCUUCUCAGCCUACUCCCACACUCUGAUCAUGUGGCCGUCUCUUUCCUGACCCUUGUCUUCAUGUCCCAUUUUUUAUUUCACGCCUACUCCUUGAACUUACCACGGGUAGCGAUGGGCGCCUUGGCUUGGCGUUCGGCUCCCCUAAAGGACUUGGCUCAGCCCUACUUCACCAUCUCAGCCCAAUUUAGACCACCCUAUUCAACCUCCUGGAGGUAAACCCCAUCUUCCAGCUCUACAAGAGGAAGAUACAGAGUACAUCAAGGGAGCGAUGGGAAGAGUAGCUAAUUCUCUCUAGGAAGGCUUUGCAGGGAGGUGAUGGCCACACCCAGUCUCAGAGGAUGAGCAGAGUGGAGAAGGGUGGGAAGAGCAUUCCAAAAAAAGGGUAUAUAGCACGUUAGUGAAGAAAAAUAAUGUGUUUUGUAGUCAGUUUUGCAGACAAGAACCCCUAAUGGAUAAUAAUAAAAUGUUUACUGAGCUCCUACUUUAUGGAAAGCACAUGAUCCAGUACAGGACCUGGCACAUAACAGAAACUCAUUAAGUGUUUGGGAAUAAAGAAUAUCAGUUUCACUUAAAAAGUAAAGAUGUAUGUCUAAAUCAGAAAAUAACCUAUAACAUUAUCCUAGGAGAAGUGCCCAAAAGAAAAACAAAAACCCAGAAAACUUGAUAUCACCUCUCCCAAGACAACAGAGCUUUUACCUUGCUGUAAUCAGAGAAUGACAAUGAGACUGUGCUCGGCCGGGUCCUUUGUGCCAGAAACAGAGCCACAGAACCCUGGGGCCAAAGGAUCUGGUCUUGAUUAAGGUUAUUUUCCUUUGUAACAUUCAGUUUGGAGGGAAAAGGAAAGAGGAUCUACAAGGAAACUAGAGGAGCCCAAGAGCAUCCGUGAGUUUCAUCACAGCCUUUCACUUCCUUGGUGAAUGGGACUCGGGGAACUCAUAAUCCCACCUUCAUUCGGCUACUGAGUCAACUGUUCCUUUCAGUUCUAACCACCUUCUGUCUUAGCUUCUUGACUUAAAAAAGGGUUUGGUUGAACCCUCGGUGAAUUUAAGGACUCAGAUAACAGAUAAGUUUGCACAGUCCCUUUCCUUAUUAAAAAUGUUUCUGACAUGAUUGUUCUAAUUAAACAAGCUUGGUUACAGGGCUCUGUCAAUGCAGUAUGAUAAUUCCUACAUCCUAAAAUGCUAUUAAAUGUGAGUAUUGUUGUAACAACAAGGAAAAAACUCUCUAAUCCAAGCAUGACUGGAAGUUAAACUAAUGCAGCUAGUUUUGGGAAGCCUAAAUCAUUUCUACAUCCCUACUCUUAUGGUCAUUUAAGGAAUCUGUGUCCCCCAGGCCUCGCUCAUUGAAAUCCCUGCAUUCAUCUCAUUUGGCCCUCAGAUGGCAGAGAGAAUGGCAUCAAUCAGCAUUUAUCAGGUAGUACAGAGCUCUGGAGGCAAGCACCAACUGGGAAAAUAAUGUUGGAAAAGAAUCCAGAAAAUCCAACUGGAUGCAAAGCAGUCCUGGUAGAAAACCCCUGGCAAUACCCUCCAUUGGAUCUGAGCUGACCACACUGGUGUGGGAGCUCAUGUGGCUAUACCUCCCUCUGCUCACCCCACAAAUUGAUAUUCACUGACCUCCAGGCCAUAGAGAAACACGUACUCCAUCUCUCUCUGCCUCAACUUCUGCUAGCAUCCUAAGUAUCUUCAUCACCCAUCUAGAUUGUUCACUCAAUUCCAUAAUGUCCUCCAUGCUGAGGACCCUGACCUCCAACUCCCUUUAGCAUGGACAACAUCCUAAAUUUUUAACACCCAAAUACCCUCAAAUCCAAAAUUGCAAACUUAGAAAUUCUGCUUCCUAUCUUUCCAUUUCUCCCAGCCAGCUACCUCUUCUGCCUUGGGGAAUCUGACAACAUCUUAUGAUUGUUUAAAUUCAUCCUAACAAGCCAACAUGCCCACAUGCCUGUCCUCUCAGCCAGGAGCACCUGAAGACACCUAGGCCCCACUGGAAUCUGACUUCACAACCCAGCAGUGCCUACACAAACCUCUGGGCCUUGGUGCACACCUAGCCUGCCUGGGCUUGGCAUAGUCUCUUAUCCCAGUUGCUCCAACAUUCCCAGUGCCAGUAUCCAGCUCCCUCCAGAUCUGCAGUGCUCUCCCGGGCACUCAGCGCUUAUCCAGAUUUCCUUACCCUCUAGCCUAUACCUCAGGGUCAGUCUCAUCAGUUGUAACCUCCUUGAGAGCAUCUACGACAUCCUCAACUAGCUCUUGAUUUAUACUGCCUCGCUAAUCCAUUCUCCAGUCAAUGAUUCUCUUUCAGCUCCUUUACUGGUGCCCACAGCAGUUGUUUCAAAAGUUGGCCAGGUCUUCUACCCUACGGCCAUUCACUCUCAACAAUUUUGUCUCAUCUUCACCACGAAAAGAGAGGGCAUCCAGUAAGGACUCUUCAGGUCCCUCCUCAUCAACUUCCCGUCAAUCUCAGAAGUUGGUACCCACCUCCCACAACCAACUCUUCCACCCAUGCUCUUGCUCUUAUCCCAAAACUAGCAUUUAAACGCUACAUGACCUUUAAAAGUCACUUAACCUCUUUGUGACCUAGUGUUCUCACCUGUAAAAUGCAGAGAAGAGGGUUUAUCUCAUAGAUUUGCAGAGAAGAUUGAGCGGGACAACACAUACACGGCACUCAGAACACUGACUGCACAUAAACAGUAUGUUCCUUUACAGCUCCCUCUCCGUCUCCUCCAUCUACAGACAGAGCCAGGUCUUUACAACCUAAAAAGUAGCUGUUUAUCCUCAAGCAACCGCUUGCUUUCUCUUGCAGCACCAAGCUUCCUGACUCACCGCUGCCUCUUCCUUAUCCCUGCUCACUCCUUGGCUCCCUGCAGGCAGCUGCCCUCACAAUUCUACAGAAUCCACGCUCAGCCGCUCAGCGAUGUCACCAAUGACGACUUUUUUUUUUUAAAAGAUUGGCAACUGAGCUAACAACUGUUGCCAAUCUUCUUUUUUUUUUUUUCUUUCUGUUCCUUCUCCCCAACUCCCCACAGUACAGAGUUGCAUAUUCUAGUUGUGGGUCCUUCUAGUUGUGGCAUGUGGGACGCCACCUCAGCGUGGUCUGACGAGCGGUGCCAUGUCCGCGCCCAGGAUCCGAACCGGUGAAACCCUGGGCCACCGCAGCCGAGCGUGCGAACUCAACCACUCGGCCACGGGGCUGGCCCCACCAAUAACUUCUAAUGGCAAAUCCACUGUCCAGUGUUCAGUCCACUCUGCCAUCUGAAACACUGCCCUCCAUCUCUUCCUUGAAACUUCUACUGGCUCUCCCAGCUCUUUCGCUUCUGCAGUUUGUCCUUCUUCGUCUCCUACACCAGCCCCUCUGACUGCCCGCUGAAUGCCAGGACUCCUGGUUCCACCCUUGGCUUUCUCCUCCUCCUCCAAAGAUGAGCUCAUCUGCUCCCACAACUUGGACAACGCCUGGUAGCUAAUGAUUCCUCAUUCAUUCCUCACCCAGCCUCUCUCAUGGUCUCUAUCUGCCUGGUGUCUCCCCCUGGUUAUCCCAAGGGAACCUCAAACCCAACAUGUCCAAACUGAGGUUACUGCUUUCUCCAAACCUGCUUCUUCCCCUGUAUUUCUUUUUUUUCCCUGCUUUUUCUCCCCAAGUCCCCCCAGUACAUGGUUGUUUAUUUUAGUUGUGGGUCCUUCUAGUUGUGGCAUGUGAGGUGCUGCCUCAACGUGGCCUGACGAGCGGUGCCACAUCCACACCCAGGAUCUGAACCAGCAAAACCCUGGGCCGCCGAAGCGGAGCACACAAACUCAAUCACUCGGCCACGGGGCCGGCCCCCACAAACCCCGUAUUUCUUAGAUAGGCUGAUGACAUCAUUAUCAACCCAGCUCGCUGCUUCAAACUUCUGGUAGUGUGCUGGACAGAGGGCAUAAUUCCAGCAAACCCAUUUUAGUGGGUACCUGUGACCAUAUUGGUAAAGAGAAAUAGUCAUGCAUGUGGAUUCCAAGUGUAAGAAUCAUUAGUCAGAAAUGAGAUAGGGCCACAAAUAAAAUCCAAGGGCUACAUUCCAAAAGCAAGAGCUUAAGAAAAGACCUAGUUAGUUCAACGGGGUGGGGGUGGGGGGCCUCUAGUUUGGAGCUAACGCAAGAGAAAUGUGAGAAAGCGAGAGAAAAGGCCCGGAGGGAGCUCACUGCCAGUUCUUACAAGGGGCUGCGUGACUUCCAAUGGCCUGAGCUGUGCUCAUCUCCUCCCCACUUCUCACUUCAACUCUGAUACCCACUUAGUCCCACGUCCCUCUAAGUUCCCCUGUUCUACCCCGCUUGCCGCCACAAAGCCACCAGUUCAGGACGUCUGUUUCUCACCUUACAAACCACAACCACUAUUAACUGUUCCCAGCUUGAGUCUCUCUCAUCGUCAAUCAUUCUAAACCAUAACUGUGAUCACACCAUUUCUCCGCUUUAAAGUUCUCAAUGGCUCUCGACCACCAUUAGGAACGAGCGCCAGCUCCGCCGGCCUUCACAGCCAGGCCCCAGCCUGCCUCUCCAGUUCCCAUCCAGCAUCACUACAGCCACGACAAACCACUAGUACUCUGCUGCCCUGGAACAUGCCAUGCUCUGAGCCCUUCGCCCAGCACACAGGUUCUCUCUCCUGUCUGGAACACCCCUCCUUGUCCCACCCCUCCUACAGCCAACUGCCAUCACUUCUCAUGAAUGCGCAGUGGCAAAGGCUGAUCCUCCAGCCGGGCACUGCUCCUUUCUCCAGCCAUCAGGCUUUCUCCAGCCAUCUGUCUCCCCUGUGCAUAAUGGGCCCCUCAAGGGCAGGGCCCUUGUCUUCUUCAUCCAGGUUACAUCCCCAGGCGGCGCUAUUACAGUGUCCAGCAAAUCAAAUAGCCAUUUAAUGAGCGCUAAACAUUUACAGGCAGCAUCUUGUUUAAUCCUCACAAGAACUAGGUGGGCACUAAUUAUCUCCAUUCACAGGUGAGUGAGGCUGGCCAGCAGCUCAAUAAUGUUCCUGAAUGACAAAUCCACUUUACACUGUGAAUGGUUAUCGCUACGCAGCCUUAAAAAGACCCUGAAGAAGGCCAGGAUUAUUAAGGAGACAAAGGCUCUGACCAUUCCCUCACACAACGUAAAACCCUGAAAUCCUCUGGUAAUGCUUUUCGAGAGAGUCUCGGGCUCCUGCAUGGGGUAUACUUAAAGCAUCCCUACCCAUUGCUGCCCCUCUCCCAGAAACUCAGUUUCUUCAUCGUUGGAGGCCUCUGUUUCACCUGUGACUACAAAGCUAGUUAUUCCUUCAUAGAUGGUUAAGGCUGAGAACUUCGCUCACAAAAUCUCUCAGAAAUCCACCAAUUAAAAGCUCGUUUGGAUAAAAUGGAUACUCUCAGAGGAAAAUAUAAAAGAUCAAAACUGACUGAAGAAGUGAAAAACUUGAGUCUAACAACAAUCACAGAAUAUCUAUACAUUCUUGUCAAAUUACCAUCUACCCCAAAAGGCACUGGGUUCAGACAGGUUCACAGGCAAUUUCUUUCAAACCUCUAAGGAAUAGAUAAUUAUCAUGCUAUUUAAACUAUUCCAGAGGCGAGAAAAAAACUAGUGAGUGAUCUGUACUUUUUUCUUUGUUCUUUUCUAUGUUUUCUGAAACUCCACACAGAGCAUGUAUUACUUUAAUAAUGAGAAAGAAACACUAAACCUAUUUGACUUAUAGAAAUUUUUAAUAAGGAAAUAAUUAUGGAUUUGUACAAAAUUUUAUCUAUACACAAAUGAGUGUUUAUGUAUAAUCUACAGGCAAAAAUCAGGAAAUGAAAAUGUCCAACACUGUAUUCAUUUAUUCCCUUUUUGUUUGCAGACCUCCAACAUGCCAGGCACAGUGUCAGGCCCGGGGGAUAAAAGGGUGAGCUAAACACACAGUCCCCAUCCUCAUGGACUUUACACUCUUGUGAAGAGACACACAUCAAAUAAUCUCCAAAACACAUACAUUAUAAACUCAGAUAAGUGGCAUGAAAUAAAUACGUAGAUUACAAAGAGGGCGCACGUGAUCCUGGGAAGAGGGCCUUAUCUGGGGAUCAGAAAUGAUGGAACAUCAAGCAACUGUUAAAACUAGUGACGUGAUGGGCUGGCCCGGUGUCUUGGCAGUUAAGUGCACACGUUCCACUUUGGCGGCCCGGGGUUCGCCAGUUUGGAUCCCGGGUGAAGACAUGGCACCGCUUGGCAAAAGCCAUGCUGUGGUAGGUGUCUCACAUAUAAAGUAGAGGAAGAUGGGCACGGAUGUUAGCUCAGGGCCAGUCUUCCUCAGCAAAAAGAGGACUGGCAGCAGUUAGCUCAGGGCUAAUCUUGCAAAAAAAAAGGACAUGUACAAUUCUGUGGUAUUGAGGACAUUCACACAGUUCUGCAACCAUCACCACCAUCCAUCUCCAGAACUUUUUCACUUUCCCAAACUCAACCUCUGAGCCCAUUAAACACUAAUGCACUGAUCCGGCUCUCCCCAGCCUCUGGCAACCACGGAGCCUCAUCUGAUUUUAACAUUCAAAGACCAAGCCUCACUCUCACUUUCAGGGUAAAGUACCUUCAUCUGCUAAACUCCCCUCCUGAGAAAAGACUGCCCAGGUAAAGCAGGCAGGAGCUGGAGUUUUAUAGAGCUGAGAGACAGGUCGAGGGGGCAAUUUUGGACAAUCAGAAGAUGAGAGGUGGGGGCGUGGGAGUGGGAGGAGAUUCUGAAAUAGAGAUGGGAAGGCAACGUAACUGCUUGCUUUGAAGUUUGGCCCGGGGCCUUGGGAGCAGUCGGUGCGUUCAGGUGCAAGGACUACUAAUCGUAAACUUCCACUCCUUUCAGUUCAAUGCUGAUUGCCUCUGGCUGCUAAGAGGCACGCGCCCAUGUGCGCGCGCACACACAAAGACAGUAGGAAGGAAGGGUGGCAAGGAAGAGAUAUAGAAACUUAAACGUCAGAGACUCAGGCCUCCCAGGAACCAAAUGCAGGAAUUUCCUUCACAAUACUCUUGACAGCUGGCCAUGCAGCACCUGUCCGAACACAUCCAAAGACAGGGGGACAACGGAGCCCUGACAUUCCAGAGAAGAACAUCCAGACAGCUUCAUAAAUCCCCAACCCCAUAAAUACAGAAAGAGUUGUAGAGCCUUCAGGCUUUUUCCUGAUUUUUUUUUUUCAAAUGCCUGACCCCCCCCCCCACUGCAAGUUAACCCCCUUUGUAACUUUCUCCAAAACUAUCUCACCAGAAAAAAUUUUGUCCUGGCUCAAGCAACUGCUAAAACUUUCAUGAACUUCCUUGUUUCCUGUGAAGCAUAUGGUGGCCUUAUUCCCACCACAGCCAAAUUUAUCAUUCUAGUCUCUCAUUCACCCAAACUCCUUUUUCUUUUUUUCUGGCUAAGACCUAGCCCUUCUUCAGACAUCUUGGCUUUUUCUUUCCUAACAUCUUCAUACGAGCAGCUCGUUAGUUAAGAGUUACAACUGAGCUGCAACUCAAGUCUGUACCUCAGCACAAUUACAAAUUACUACCUGUCAGGAACUUUAGGGAUGGCUUAAAGCUCUCAAAAAAAUCAGGGCAGUGUUAAAUCUGCAAAUUCUAAGUAUAUACUGUCUAUGUGGCUUUUUUUCCCUCCUCCUUCCCUCUAUUAACAGCAGCAUCCCACAUACUCUCAGGAUUUAUAGAACAAGUAACAAAAGCAUCUACUGUUAAAUACGUUUGCCCAUCUUCCCACCCAAUGUAGCCAGGAAAACCAUUUAGAACGACCUUGGAAGGUGAAUGUGGAAUCUGAUGGAGGGCUGGAAGGAGUACAUGAAUAGGAAAGAAGUGAAAGAAACAACAGGUAGCCAGGGGCUUUGGGCUGAUCUGGUUAAACGGUGCUGCCGUCCAAGGGCCCUGGGCUCCGGGGGCAGAGAACAGAGGGAGGUAAAAAACGAGACAGGCUGGAAGGAAGAGAGGUGGAGCUAAUUUCAAAAUAUCACAGGAAGACAGCCCUGCCCAUGCCCUCACCAGCUGUCCUUUAAUUACUCAAAUCUGCAGCUAAUGUUCCUUCUACUACCUUGAAUCUCACCAGCCGGAGGGACUUGUGUCAGCAAAGUCAAGUCCUCUGAGAAGCUGGGCUGGUGGUAAUUAAAAAAGAGGGGAGGAUCAAGAUGAGAAAGGAAAAUCACAGAUUAUAAGCUGGAAGCAGACCCUGGCCAAAAAUCUGGAAGAAUUCUUUAUUUCACAGGACUGUUGUAAGGAGCUAGUGAGAAUGCAGAUGAAGGUGUUCUGCAAAUAAAGUUCUACAGUGGCCCCCCCCAUCCAAGGUUUCAAUUUCCGCAGUUUCAGUUACCCACGGUCAACCGCAGACGUCAUCUGCCCCUGACAUCCAGUCAUCCACAGUGUCAUGGCCAGAUGAUCCUCCUUCAGGGGAAUGGUCAGAAGGUCAAUAGUAGCCUAAGGCUACGUCACAAUGCCCAUGUCAUUCACCCCACUUGAUCUCAUCACAUGGGCACUGUAUCCUCUCACAUCAUCACAAAAAGGGUGAGAACAGCGCAAUAAGAUAUUUUGAGAGAGACAGACCACAUUCACAUAACAUUUAUUAAAGUAUAUUGCUAUAAUUAUUCUAUUGGGUUAUUACUUAUUAUUAUUUAUUACUAGUUAUUGUUGUUAAUCUCGUGCUGUGCCUACUUUAUAAAUUAAACUUUAUCAUAGGUCUGUGCAGGAAAAGAUACUAUAUAGAGGGUUUGGUACUAUCCGCGGUUUCAGGCAUCCGCUGGGGGUCUUGGAACGUAAGCCCCAUGGAUGAGGGGGAUACUGCAUACAAACAUGCUACUAUUAAAGAGCCUGACGACGAGCAAGAGUCGGAAAGUGGGGCUUUUGACGGCUCAGCACCACUUCUUCAGAAAGUGACAUCUAAGUAACUUCAUGUCUUUCUUCAAAAGUAAAAGUGGCAGUUUGGGGAAAGGUGGCAUACCUGGCUUAUCUGACUUCACAAGGAAAGCUUUCAAUGAGAUUUCAAUGUGGACAAGACGGAGACCUGAGGGCUGGAGAAGGUGAACCGCUAAGUGGCCAAACCAACAUGGGUGCAAAGUGCGGAUUAUUGGACGAAUAUUCAUCCAGAAGGCAGUUUCACUCUGUGUUCUAAACAAGUCUAUUCUGGUCAUGUUCAGCUCAACAUUAUUCUUAAUUCCCUUGAAAAAAGAUAUCGGGGAAUAUUAUAAACACGUACAGAUAUCACAAAACUAGGAGAAGACAAGUAAACGUUAUAAUCAGCCGUGCAAAUGCAAUAUUCAGAAUUUUUAUGAACUGUUUGCAUUUAAUCUCCAUACAGUAAAGCCAAGGCCUUAAACUGGUGAGCUGCAAAUGGGCUUUGUUUGGCUUACCCAAUGUUAAGAAAAAAAAUUUAGAUUGGCUAACAUGUAAAAAUUAGCUGGUUUCACAUAAAAAUCCAGAUUUUAAGCUUGAAAAAGCAGAAGACCUCAUUCCUGCAGGACAACAUCAGCUGGAGGGAGUGCUGCCUUCUCCCUUGGAUGGGCGUGGCCAUCCAUUUUGGGCACCCACAUGGCCCAGUUCACUCCACUUCACCUGCCUGGCCUCCUACUGGCAUUUGAGUUGGUGACUCCUGCAGUAAAUUAUUAGUUCAGAUUACUAAAUGUGUCCAAUUUACUGUAAAUUUUAUUUGAUUGUGCAUUAAACUCCAAUUCAAUCUUCUCCCUUGCAGGUUUUGCUCUUGCAAGAAGACCCAACAUCUGAUCACAAUGUCAUAAUUAUAACCCGUACAUUCAGAACAUCUCAGUUUUUCAGUGUGCUUUCCGAUCGUUUGAUUUAUUUGAUCAUCUCAAUGUUCUAGAAAGUCUAGGCUUAUUUUAUAAGAAAGAUCAACUAGUUAACAGGGACCAAAGGUAAGAUUUCAAUUCAGGGCUUGGGUUAAACCUUAAUCUACCAUUUCCCACCCCUACCAUGCACCCCUCAAUCCCCAAAGACAGCCCUCAUCCCAGGCUUUCCCAACCGGAGGAGAUGUGAAUCCAGAUUGCAAAGCCACUGGCUGCUCUGGAAAGAAGACGGUAUUUGGAAUCCUUGCUUUACUUCCCUUUUUAAUCUUCUAAAAAAAAACUGUAUAGUGUCUAAUCCAAAGACAGCUGAUUCUCAUUUACACUUAACCUGUGCUGAACUCACAUACUAAAUUUUAAAGCUCUGCUCUGGAAAAGGCAUUUUGCUCUUUAAGAUCUCCUUGGUAACACUCGUAAUUGGUAUCUAGGCUACAAAAAAAAAAGUUUGGAACCAAUCAGUGACUGGAGUUAGAAUAAAAUCCAAUUGGAAAUCCAGCUCAGGAAAGUUCCAGGAUGACAGCUGUGUAGCAGACUUCGAGAACAACCUGUCCAGAAUAGAGGAAGACUGGAAAAGUCCCAGGAAAGGGGGACUCUGCAAGAUUGUCAACUAUACACAGAGGAUGAAUUUCAACCUGCACACAAAGCACGAAUCACAGUUACGUAACAGAAUGUAAACAUCACCAACUGUGACAAGGAAAAAGCUCGGAUGUAGAGCAUCUGAAGUCUGUCUCCCAACCCAGCGACCAACCAAUGGAGCACGGUUGUAUCUUAAGUCGUGGUUCCUAAAGGGUGAUCCCUGGACCAGCAGCAGCAGCAUAACCUGAGAACUAAUUAGAAAUGCAAAUUUGGGGGCUCCACCCUCGACCUACCUAGCGAGAAAUUCUGGAGGGUGGGCCUAGGAUUUUUUUUUUUUUUUUUAGGAAGAUUAGCCCUGAGCUAACUACUGCCAAUCCUCCUCUUUUUUUGCUGAGGAAGACUGGCCCUGAGCUAACAUCCCUGCCCAUCUUCCUCUAUAUGUGGGAUGCCUACCACAGCAUGGCUUUUGCCCAGUGGUGCCAUGUCUGCACCCAGGAUCCGAACCAGCGAACCCCAGGCCACCAAGAAGCAGAACGUGCAAACUUAACCGCUGCACCACCGGGCCGGCCCCCAGGAGUCUGUAUCUUAACAAGCCUUCCAGGUGAUUCUGAUGCAGACUCGGGUUUGAAAACCUGAGUUUUCAAAAAGUUGAGUAAAACAAAACUCAAUGGCAGUUUUUGGUGCCAUCAUCUUCUCUUUGGCUAAAGUGUUAACUAUCCAUUAAGGACAGCUCAGGAGAAACUUGAGCCUCUUCUAAGAAAAGACAGUAUGUCUUUUAGAGGAAUCUCUAGCUGGUUUCCCCAGGAUCAGGGCUGGAGACAGGGCACCCCUGCCCUGUGUGAGUCCUGGUGGGAGCCAGCAGCAAGGACCCAUCACAGGAAGACGCUUCUGAGAGGUACCCAUUUGCCACAGCCAUCAGUGGGCAAUAAGCGGGCUGGGUGACUCCUUGGCUGAGCAGCUGAGUGGUUGGAAGUGCCUUGUGGCUGGUUUUGCAUAAGUCAUCUGCUAUUAUAAGGAUGCAAGAGGCACUCCACUUCUGGCUCCUGACAUUCUGAACAGAGCUCUCAAAUAUCCUUGGGCUAUUUCUGACUUAAAAUAGACCAAAGUGGGAGUGAGGAAGCAAUAUGUUGCAUCCUAUAUACACUCUGAUGAUGGGAUCCAGGGUAUAUGCUUUCCAGCUUCUCAUUUCUGCUUCUCUUUGGAGGAGACCAAGUUCCAGGAAUGGAGAGAACAUUUCAGGACUGCCAUCAUUUCCCUCUACAGAACCCUUGACAGACACAGCCACCAGACAAAGCCUCAGAAUCCUUCUUAACACUCAGCUUGCAAAGCUACUACUUAUCAAUCAAUGUUGGUAAGCAAGAUGAAAUUUAUCAUUGCUGGUUCAGUACACCCAAGUAUUUUGUUAUCAACAGAAGCCCCAAAGGAUGACACAGUUACCCUGGAGUCUCUUAGUAGGAACAGGUGACUGUCAUUAAUGAUUUAUAAUUUUCUGCAUAUUUUCCUUCUUAGGGUAAUGAAUUUCAUACAUUUAUUACUGGCUACAUGAAACAGGACUCAAUUUCAUUUCUCCUAAACAGCCUUGCUAGAAUUUAGGUCCAGAGGUUGGUAGGGUGAUCUGUGGGCUUAACUAUCCUUAAUAAGGGAAAUUAAGGUCGAAAUUUCCAGAAACCAAUUUAGGACUAGUCUAAGUUCCACCUAAACAUAAACAGAGCAAUCUAAAUUUUCAGUUCUGGUCCUUUCCUUCAAAGUGCUUCUAAUACAGUUUGGAAAGCAAAAUGAAAAAUACAAAUCAACACAAGAAAGUGCCAAAUUGCCGACAAGAAAAUAGCACCAGAGUUUCCCAAGAGGCGAUAUUCGAGAGUUGGAGAGGGCUUUAUGGAGGUGGAUUUGGACAGGCAGAGAGCAGAGGGGAAGACAUUCCAGGCAGGGGAAACUACGAGCACAAGGAGAGGAGAAUGGGAACGAGCCUGUUGUGUGGGGUCGCCGACAUGGGGUGCCUGUUGGAGAGUGGUGAACACUGACGGUGGGCAGGGGGAGCGGCGCCCGCAAGGACGGGCCGGGUGCAUGGGCAACUGAGCACUGCUGCUCUAAGGCAUGGCUGAGCGAAAACGGUGCUGAAGAAAGAUGAGUGUCACGCCCUAAGGGAUGAAUGAGGCUUGGCAAGGUCCAACAGAAGAGAAGGAGCUCCGUUCUACUUUCGUAGGUGUCUUCUGGGUACAAUAACACUGAGGGGUCUGCAGUCUCUCCCAUCUGCCAUCCAUAAGACAAAGAAUUCAGACCAAAUUCCUGCCACUUCCUCCUCUGCCCCUGCCUUAUCAAUCCUACCAGUCCCGUCUUGUCACUGCAGCCAGCACCAUAAGAAGCCCCGAAGCUCCUCCAGGCUACCUGAGGGCUGGGAAAUCACUGGCGGAUCUCAUGGGACACGUUCCUAAGGAGUGCAUGACAGAGGCAGUAGGGUAUCAUGGGGGGGGGCCUGGGCUUGGAGUCAGCCUGCCUGGAUUUGAUUUCCAGCUGCAUCGCGUGCCAAUCCGUGAUCUUAUGAAAGUUACCUCACCUCCCUGUGCCUCAAUUUCCGCAUCUAUAAAAUGAGGCUAAUAAUAGCACUUACCUCACAGGGUUGUUACAUAGACUAAAUUAAUACACGUAAAAAUUCAAACAACGGCUUACACACAGUAAGUGUUCAUUAAACACAGCUAUUAUCAGUGGUAUUAUUAUCCCAUAUAUUAACUAUACUAGUUCUAAGAUUAUUUUUGUGGAUUAUUGAUUUCAAGUCAACCAGUUCAUGAGUUUUUCUUAGAAAGUCUAUUCCUCAACCGCAUGUGAAUCCACGUAACCACCUGAUGUUCACAUCAAACUCUGGGCUGGAGAGAAUUUAGGAGUUAUCCAGUCCAAGUGGCUCCCUCUUUGAAAGAUGAGGAAACCAAGGCUCACAAAGGCAAUGUUUGUCAGUGCUCAGUAAAAAUUUGCUUUCAGUUGAUUUGAAUUGUCCAAGAUCACAAAGGACAUUAGAGAUGAAGCAGCCAGGUCCCAGGUUAGAAAACCCUGCUCCGUUUCAAUCUUCAUGACCACUUGGAACAGUCCCUUCCCACCAGCUUCAACAUCUGCAGCCUGAGUCCCCCACGAGGACUAAAAAUUCAGCCAUUUCCAAAUCCUCAAAAGUUCCAAAAUGCAAGAUAACUUAGUGUCUCAUUCCCAGUCCCUCUGGGACCAAGAUACAAUAUAACCAAUCGCAGAGAAGGUAUUCGGUUUUUCUGAUAGGAUUUCGGGCUUCGGGUUGUGGUCACCAAUGACUAAGGCAACAUUUGCAUCUAAAACAGGGAACAUUCUAAUUGGCGAGCGUGAUUCACAAGACGUAGGCAAGGCCUCUGGGAGAAGAGCUUGGCCAAGGAAGAAAAUCUGAUUAAUAAAAAGAUAAGCAGCCAAGAAAUAAAUUAAAUGACUGCUGACAGAGAGAGCCGGAGAAAGGAGAGGGAGAGAGACUCGGUGUACACAUUGUGAGAGAGGCAGAGGAGGAUUAGGGCUCAGGGUGGGGGAAGGGUAAGAACUGAUUUUCUAAUAUUAGACUCAGCACAUGCUCAAUUCCCAAAUCCCAGCCAAAAUGAGGGCCCCCGUCCCGCCGCGGAGUCCCAGGCAGCAUUCUGCUUCGGGACGCUUUCUGCAUGAACGCCAAGCAAAUCCCAUCCAUCUUAAGUCCUCACUGAAACACGAAAUUACUCACAGGGCUUAUCUUGGAACGUCCUUUCAUCUUUGCCUCCCACUAACUUAAAACAAUGCAUUUAAAAAAUAUUUAAGACCCCUACAGUAAAUCCAUAUCCUUACGAUUCACAAAGCACUUAGCAGAACGCUGUUUACCCUGAACUCUACGUGGCCAGUUUGAGAAAUAGGCCUUCAUUUAAGCUGCUUUUUUAUAAAAUAAAUAAAUAAAAGCCUUCGUGAAUACCAGAACACUAUCAAUUUGGACUAAAUUCACGGAUUCCAGUGCAAGCAGCCGAGGUCCUCAAGCCUGGAGCACAAAUGUCCCUUGCCCUUCAUUAAUUGAAAAAUAAACAGAUAGGGGAAGACACGGGUGCGUGCCUUGCUAUGCAAUUUAACAAAUGACGUGAUGUUCUCGAUCUUCAAUUUAUUUUUAAGCUGGCAUUUUAUUUUUAACCUUACGACUACAAAAGUAAGAAAUGCUGACUAUGAGAAAUUUAGAAGUACAAAAAGAAGAAAACCAGGGGGAGGGUCACUUCUGAAAAAGUUCUUGAAGUGAUGACUCUGAUGGUCAAUAAAAUCCCAAAUCUGGCCAAAUUCCAACCCAAGCAAGAACAUUCUCCUAGCCCGUUUCCAAAGCUGACUUUCUAGUUGGAUGGGGUCUUCAUUUGCUGCCACUCAUCACGGCAUCAUUUUGCUGCGCUCUUUAAAGCAGCUGCAGGAUUCCACCCCAAUUUCUAAGUUUCCGGGGAUUCUCUGGCAAGAAGUCACCACCUCUCCUAUAUUAUGUGGUCUACAUGACAGCCAAAAAUCCCCUCGGCUUAACAACACUGAGAAGCAAGGGGGCGACCACUGGAUGACUGUGCCGACUGGACAAGGAGAAACCAGAGGCUAUUUUGUGGGUGGCCAACCAGGCAAGCAGGUUUGGGAAAUGGCAAUUCUUGGAAACUGAGAGCUAUGAAAUGGGUCGAAGUACGGCCUCAGGAAAGCUCAGAAAGCCUUCAAACCUUUUGGCCAACACAGAAUAAGGAGGAAUCUAGAAAAUGGGAGGUGAUAAUGUUUAGAGAAGAUCUGGUAAGAUCAUAUGAAAAGGACAAGACAUCAGCUUUGAGAUCCAUUGAGGGCUGCAGUAAAUGAGCAUUCUGAUCAAUAAGCUAUGCUUUGGUUCAUUCAAUACAUAUUUAUUGAGCGCCUACUGUGUAUAAGCCCCUGAGCUGUGCAGAACACCACCAUGAAUAACAGAAGGAGCUUACUCCGAUGGAGCUCUGGGACAAAAUGCUAUUAAUGUGGGUAUUGACACUGUAGUCCUUCGGAGGACAAAGCCACCUUUUAUACCACACCAGCUGCAUGAGUGUCUGCUUCGCAUCCUUCAGACUUAUCCAAAAUAAAACCUGCAGCUCUACUGCCAUGAGGCUACACUAUCCUCAGCCCCCUCCUGUUUACAUCAGUUGUCCUCCAAGGACGGCUGGGUUCUCUCUGUAUCGCCAGCACGCCACUCAUUCAACCUAAGGACUGAAGGCACACAAUCAGGUGUAACGCUGUUCCCUGGAGGGCCUGGCUAAAGCUAUCUUCUCUCAUUAGACCAAAUGUUCUCCGUGACAAAGCCUUUCAGUUUUACCUUUUGCCUCCUGUUAGAGCGGAAGAGCUGCCCUUUGUCUGAGGCGCCGUAGCUGUUCGUGCCUUGGAGAGUGACAGCACAGCACUUAGACACUGCUUGUGCACCACGUGAGACCAGGGCCAGCACUCGCCCCAGGUAAAGCCCCUGCUGUGAAUAGACACGCUAUGCAGCUCGGCCCAGUGGCUCUUUCCUUCCACACCUUCCAGUCCCCAAAAGUGAUCUGAAGACAGAAUGCUACUCUGGGAAAAAAUGGACCUGGAUGAAAAGCCCUGAGCUGGAAAGAAGCAGGGAGGGAACAGAGAGGUGUGUCGGCCUGCCCCACUUCAGGAAUGCCAAAUCCUGGCUGGGCAACAGAAGGAUGCUAUGGACACCUGACUUAAAAGGUGAACGGAGGGGCCAGCCCAGUAGCGCAGCGGUUAAGUGCGCACAUUCUGCUUCUCGGCGGCCCGGGGUUCGCCGGUUCAGAGCCCAGGUGCGGACAUGGCACGGCAUGGCAAACUGUGCUGUGGUAGGCGUCCCACAUAUAAAGUAGAGCAAGAUGGGCACGGAUGUUAGCUCAGGGCCAGCCUUCCGCAGCAAAAAGAGGAGGAUUGGUGGCAGUUAGAGCUAAUCUUCCUCAAAAAAAAAAAGCAGAUGCAGCAUCAGUCCGGCGUCAGAGCUGUCGGCUAAACCAGUGUUCAGAAUACACGGCCUUAGAGUAGAUUUUUUUCUAAACUUGCA
ensembl:lncRNA